rfam:Schistosoma margrebowiei strain Zambia genome assembly, scaffold: SMRZ_contig0001645
AUCCAGCUGAUGCGUCCCAAAUAGGACGAAACGCGUGUCCUAUAU